rnacentral:sRNA from 1 species
AAUUUAAUUCUAAGAUAUUAGCCUAAGAUACACCUAAGAUAUACCAUUGGAGGUGCUCUAAGGAUCCAAAAAAGAAAGAUUACCCUAAAACUCUAAUUAUUGUUGAGUCGAGGCUACUUAGUGACAUAGGUAAACAAAUCAAUUUCCUUAAGCGCUUUUCAUGUACAACUACAGUAUAACCUCUAUAAAUUAAUACUCGAUAAAUUAAUAAUCUCUAUAAAUUAAUAAAUUCUUCCGGUUCCGAGUUGGGACCAGUGUAAAAAGUAACACAAAUCGAUAAAUUAAUAAGAUAAUAAUUUUUUUUAAAGUCUUAUGUAAAUAUAUGGUCCCAUCAAUAUUAUAAAUUAAUA